UACGUAGGGGGCUAGCGUUGUCCGGAUUUAUUGGGCGUAAAGAGCGUGUAGGCGGCCAGAUAGGUCUGCUGUGAAAACUCGAGGCUCAACCUCGAGAUGUCGGCGGAAACCAUUUGGCUAGAGUCCGGAAGAGGAAAGUGGAAUUCCUGGUGUAGCGGUGAAAUGCGCAGAUAUCAGGAGGAACACCAAUAGCGAAGGCAGCUCGCUGGGACGGUAUUGACGCUGAGGCGCGAAAGCGUGGGGAGCAAACAGG
rnacentral:rRNA from 1 species